AAGUCGUAACAAGGUUUCCGUAGGUGAACCUGCGGAAGGAUCAUUACAAAUCUUGAUAAUCCACGAUCGUGAGGAUAUAUAGAGGGUCAUCUCUGUAUUCUCACAUCGAAACCUAUAUUUAACUUACCUAUUGACACUUGUAUUUUACAAACAAACAACCCAAGAACACCUUUUAACAAUGGAUCUCUUGGCUCUU
rnacentral:misc_RNA from 1 species